GAAUCUGCCUGGUAGUGGGGGAUAACGUCCGGAAACGGGCGCUAAUACCGCAUACGUCCUGAGGGAGAAAGUGGGGGAUCUUCGGACCUCACGCUAUCAGAUGAGCCUAGGUCGGAUUAGCUAGUUGGUGGGGUAAAGGCCUACCAAGGCGACGAUCCGUUACUGGUCUGAGAGGAUGAUCAGUCACACUGGAACUGAGACACGGUCCAGACUCCUACGGGAGGCAGCAGUGGGGAAUAUUGGACAAUGGGCGAAAGCCUGAUCCAGCCAUGCCGCGUGUGUGAAGAAGGUCUUCGGAUUGUAAAGCACUUUAAGUUGGGAGGAAGGGCAGUAAGUUAAUACCUUGCUGUUUUGACGUUACCAACAGAAUAAGCACCGGCUAACUUCGUGCCAGCAGCCGCGGUAAUACGAAGGGUGCAAGCGUUAAUCGGAAUUACUGGGCGUAAAGCGCGCGUAGGUGGUUCAGCAAGUUGGAUGUGAAAUCCCCGGGCUCAACCUGGGAACUGCAUCCAAAACUACUGAGCUAGAGUACGGUAGAGGGUGGUGGAAUUCUGUGUAGCGGUGAAAUGCGUAGAUAUAGGAAGGAACACCAGUGGCGAAGGCGACCACCUGGACUGAUACUGACACUGAGGUGCGAAAGCGUGGGGAGCAAACAGGAUUAGAUACCCUGGUAGUCCACGCCGUAAACGAUGUCGACUAGCCGUUGGGAUCCUUGAGAUCUUAGUGGCGCAGCUAACGCGAUAAGUCGACCGCCGUGGGGAGUACGGCCCGCAAGGUUUAAAACUCAAAUGAAAUUGACGGGGGGCCCGCACAAGCGGUGGGAGCAUGUGGGUUUAAUUCGAAAGCAACGCGAAAAAACCUUACCUGGGCCUUGACAUGCUGAGAAACUUAUCCAGAAGAUGGGAUUGGGUGCCCUUCGGGAAACUCAGAACACAGGG
rnacentral:rRNA from 1 species